GUAUGCGUGACUGCCUCUGAAAUUCAUGGAUCAUGGACUUCUCCAUUUAUCCCUCAACUGGAAUCUGAAGAUUCUCCGAUCGGAGUUCAAUUAACUACCAUGGAAUCUGCUCUUGUUGUAAGUCUUUACACCCUUGGUUUCUUCUUGGGAAGCGCUGUUUCAAUACAUCCACCUGAUCUUAUUGGCAGAAAAGCAACAUUGAUUGCUGGAACUGUAUUAAAUUUAAUUUCUUGGAUUUUUAUAAUCUUUGCUCGUGGUCCAAUUCCCUUGUAUAUUGGAAGGAUUAUUGCUGGAAUGGGAGCAAUCAUUUGUAGACAUAUAUCAGCAAUGUACAUUGGAGAAAUUGCCGACAACGAUAAUAGAGGUAGAAUGGGUUAUUUUAAUGUUCUAUCAAGCACUUGCGGAUCUGUUAUCGGACUGGUGAUAGGUCCUUUCGUAUCCUACAGAAUUUUUGCAAUUAUAGCAAUAUGUACGGUAGUAUUUGCAUUUAUUUGCCUUCUA